rnacentral:rRNA from 1 species
GGUAUCGCCGUUAGUCAUGUGCAAAUAUGGAUAGCUGUUUUAGCCGUCUUUAUUGACUGGUUUAUAGGAGUUAUCAGAUAUCACUUUGAUUAAAUUAGAGUGCUUAAAGCAAGUGUGUUACUUGGAUAUAAAUGCAUGGAAUGAUGGAAUAUGUUGUUAUUCUAUUUGUUGGUUUUUGAAUGAUAAAAUGAUUGAAAGGAACUGUUGGGGGCAUUCGUAUUGUUGUGAGAGAGGUGAAAUUCUUAGACCACAGCAAGACGAACUACUGCGAAAGCAUUUGCCAAGAAUGUUUUCAUUGAUCAAGAACGAAAGUUAGAGGUUCGAAGGCGAUCAGAUACCACCCUAGUUCUAACCAUAAACUAUGCCAACUAGCAAUUUGCUUUGUAUUUUUUAUGACUAAGUGAGAGGCCACGGGAAACCUAAGUAGGGUUAUGGGGGAAGUAUGGUUGCAAAGCUGAAACUUAAAGGAAUUGACGGAAGGGCACCACCAGGAGUGGAGCCUGCGGCUUAAUUUGACUCAACACGGGAAAACUUACCUGGUCCUGACACUAGAAGGAUUGACAGAUUGAUAGCUCUUUCUUGAUUUGGUGGAUGGUGGUGCAUGGCCGUUCUUAGUUGGUGGAGUGAUUUGUCUGGUUAAUUCCGAUAACGAACGAGACUCUAGCCUAUUAAAUAAUACACGGAAUUUUAUCUUCCGCGGUAUUUCUUAGUGGGAUCAAGCG